rnacentral:rRNA from 1 species
GUUGUAUAGUCAAGUAAUUAAGUGCAUGUGGUGGAUGCCUUGGCAGUCAGAGGCGAUGAAAGACGUGAUAGCCUGCGAAAAGCUCCGGGGAGGCGGCAAAUAUCCUUUGAUCCGGAGAUGUCUGAAUGGGGGAACCCACCUACUUUAAGGUAGGUAUUGCAACAUGAAUACAUAGUGUUGCAAGGCGAACGAGGGGAAGUGAAACAUCUCAGUACCCUUAGGAAAAGAAAUCAAUUGAGAUUCCCUCAGUAGCGGCGAGCGAACGGGGAUCAGCCCAUUAAGUUAUGUGUGUUUUAGUGGAACGCUCUGGGAAGUGCGAACGUAGAGGGUGAUAUUCCCGUACACGAAAGGGCACACAUAAUGAUGACGAGUAGGGCGAGGCACGUGAAACCUUGUCUGAAUAUGGGGGGACCAUCCUCCAAGGCUAAAUACUCCUGACUGACCGAUAGUGAACCAGUACCGUGAGGGAAAGGCGAAAAGAACCCCUGUGAGGGGAGUGAAAUAGAUCCUGAAACCGCAUGCAUACAAGCAGUGGGAGCACCUUCGUGGUGUGACUGCGUACCUUUUGUAUAAUGGGUCAGCGACUUAUAUUCAGUAGCGAGGUUAACCGUAUAGGGGAGCCGUAGAGAAAUCGAGUCUUAAUAGGGCGUUUAGUUGCUGGGUAUAGACCCGAAACCAGGCGAUCUAUCCAUGAGCAGGUUGAAGGUUGGGUAACACUAACUGGAGGACCGAACCCACUGUCGUUGAAAAGCCAGGGGAUGACUUGUGGAUAGGGGUGAAAGGCUAAUCAAGCCUGGUGAUAGCUGGUUCUCCCCGAAAGCUAUUUAGGUAGCGCCUCGGACGAAUACCAUAGGGGGUAGAGCACUGUUUCGGCUAGGGGGUCAUCCCGACUUACCAAACCGAUGCAAACUCCGAAUACCUAUGAGUACUAUCCGGGAGACAGACUGCGGGUGCUAACGUCCGUAGUCAAGAGGAAAACAAUCCAGACCGCCAGCUAAGGCCCCAAAAUCAUAGUUAAGUGGGAAACGAUGUGGGAAGGCAUAGACAGCUAGGAGGUUGGCUUAGAAGCAGCCACCCUUUAAAGAAAGCGUAAUAGCUCACUAGUCGAGUCGGCCUGCGCGGAAGAUGUAACGGGGCUAAAACUAUGUGCCGAAGCUGCGGAUNNNNNNNNNAUGCUGGAGGUAUCAGAAGUGCGAAUGCUGACGUGAGUAACGACAAAACGGGUGAAAAACCCGUUCGCCGAAAGACCAAGGGUUCCAGUCCAACGUUAAUCGGGGCUGGGUGAGUCGACCCCUAAGGCGAGGCCGAAAGGCGUAGUCGAUGGGAAAAUGGUUAAUAUUCCAUUACUUCUGUGUAAUGCGAUGAGAGGACGGAGAAGGCUAAAUCAGCCUGGCGUUGGUUGUCCAGGUGAAAGGAUGUAGGCAUGUAUCUUAGGCAAAUCCGGGGUACUCUAUGCUGAGAUCUGAUAGCAAGCUGUACUUGUACAGCGAAGUGGUUGAUGCCAUGCUUCCAGGAAAAGUCUCUAAGCUUCAGUUACACAGGAAUCGUACCCGAAACCGACACAGGUGGUCAGGUCGAGUAGACCAAGGCGCUUGAGAGAACUCUGCUGAAGGAACUAGGCAAAAUGGUACCGUAACUUCGGGAGAAGGUACGCUGUUGUUGGUGAUGGAACUCGCUUCCUGAGCUGACGACAGCCGCAGAAACCAGGCCGCUGCAACUGUUUAUUAAAAACAUAGCACUCUGCAAACACGAAAGUGGACGUAUAGGGUGUGAUGCCUGCCCGGUGCUGGAAGGUUAAUUGAUGGGGUUAGCGUAAGCGAAGCUCUUGAUCGAAGCCCCAGUAAACGGCGGCCGUAACUAUAACGGUCCUAAGGUAGCGAAAUUCCUUGUCGGGUAAGUUCCGACCUGCACGAAUGGCAUAAUGAUGGCGGCGCUGUCUCCAGCAGAGGCUCAGUGAAAUCGAAAUCGCUGUGAAGAUGCAGUGUACCCGCGGCUAGACGGAAAGACCCCGUGAACCUUUACUGCAGCUUGACACUGAACUUUGACCUUACUUGUGUAGGAUAGGUGGGAGGCUUUGAAGCUGGAACGCUAGUUCCAGUGGAGCCGUCCUUGAAAUACCACCCUGGUAAUGUUGAGGUUCUAACUCUGUCCCGUGAUCCGGGACGAGGACCGUGUCUGGUGGGUAGUUUGACUGGGGCGGUCUCCUCCUAAAGAGUAACGGAGGAGUACGAAGGUGCGCUCAGCGUGGUCGGAAAUCACGCGUAGAGUAUAAAGGCAAAAGCGCGCUUAACUGCGAGACCCACAAGUCGAGCAGGUACGAAAGUAGGUCUUAGUGAUCCGGUGGUUCUGUAUGGAAGGGCCAUCGCUCAACGGAUAAAAGGUACUCUGGGGAUAACAGGCUGAUACCGCCCAAGAGUUCAUAUCGACGGCGGUGUUUGGCACCUCGAUGUCGGCUCAUCUCAUCCUGGGGCUGAAGCAGGUCCCAAGGGUAUGGCUGUUCGCCAUUUAAAGAGGUACGCGAGCUGGGUUUAGAACGUCGUGAGACAGUUCGGUCCCUAUCUACCGUGGGCGCUGGAAAUUUGAGAGGAUCUGCUCCUAGUACGAGAGGACCAGAGUGGACGAACCUCUGGUGUACCGGUUGUGACGCCAGUCGCAUCGCCGGGUAGCUAUGUUCGGAAGGGAUAACCGCUGAAAGCAUCUAAGCGGGAAGCCUACCUCAAGAUAAGAUUUCCCUAGGACUUUAUGUCCUCUAAAGAGCCGUUCGAGACUAGGACGUUGAUAGGUUGGAUGUGGAAGCAUAGUGAUAUGUGAAGCUGACCAAUACUAAUUGCUCGUGAGGCUUGACUAUACAACACCCAAGCAGUUG